CUGCAGACCUUUGUCAGCAAGGCUUGCCUGGAGUGGCUAGUUCUUUCCUGUAGUGUCUGCUAGAGAGAACUGAGAUGGUUGAGGCCCUGCUGUGCCUCUUCCAUGGCAAGGUUAUAGGUAUAUCUCAGACAACU
rnacentral:snoRNA from 1 species